GGAGAGGUGGCCGAGCGGUAAGGCAGCGCUUUGCUAAGGCGCCGAGUCCUUCGGGACGCGCAGGUUCGAUCCCUGUCCUCUCCGCCA
rnacentral:tRNA from 2 species